rnacentral:rRNA from 2 species
UACGGAGGGUGCAAGCGUUGUUCGGAAUUAUUGGGCGUAAAGCGCGUGCAGGCGGCCGUUUAAGUCUGAUGUGAAAGCCCCGGGCUCAACCUGGGAAGUGCAUCGGAUACUGGAUGGCUUGAGUACGGGAGAGGGAAGCGGAAUUCCGAGUGUAGGGGUGAAAUCCGUAGAUAUUCGGAGGAACACCAGUGGCGAAGGCGGCUUCCUGGACCGAUACUGACGCUGAGACGCGAAAGCGUGGGGAGCAAAC